rfam:Triticum urartu cultivar G1812 contig83793, whole genome shotgun sequence.
AUAGUACUCCCUCCGUCCGGAAAUACUCGUCGGAAGAAUGAAUGUAUGUAGACGUAUUUUAGUUAUAGAUACAUUCAUUUUUAUGAAUUUCUCCGACAAGUAUUUCCGGACAGAGGGAGUAUGUU